CGAUGAGAUUCCCUCCAGCUGCUUCACCACAUCUUUGGCCAGCACCAACGCAUCUGUCUCUCUCUGCAUGUAGUGCUGCAACUCUGCCAAACGAGCAUCCACAGGACUGACAGCGACCGGAGAGAUCCCUGAGACUGACACUUGGACGCACAGUGAAUUAAACUGCCUGCAACAGUAGAGGACUUCAAUUCCCGGCAGAUCAUUAUAAGGAAUCGAUGAGAGGAAAGGAGGCCGGGGGUCAGGAGAAGGAAAUAUGAGCAGAGGAAACGAGGGGUUCAUGGUCCAGGACUCUGACCUCCAUGUGUAGAGCUGUCAUGGUUGCCGCCACCAUCAUCGGUAAUACCGCUGCCGCCACUGCUGCUGCCAGCCUGGGUGACUUUGAUAAUCUGCAGUCGGAUCAG